UAGGGAAUCUUCCGCAAUGGACGCAAGUCUGACGGAGCAACGCCGCGUGAGUGAAGAAGGAUUUCGGUUCGUAAAACUCUGUUGUUAGAGAAGAACAGCGCAUAGAGUAACUGUUAUGCGUGUGACGGUAUCUAACCAGAAAGCCACGGCUAACUACGUGCCAGCAGCCGCGGUAAUACGUAGGUGGCAAGCGUUGUCCGGAUUUAUUGGGCGUAAAGCGAGCGCAGGCGGUCAAUUAAGUCUGAUGUGAAAGCCCCCGGCUCAACCGGGGAGGGUCAUUGGAAACUGGUUGACUUAAGUGCAGAAGAGGGGAGUGGAAUUCCAUGUGUAGCGGUGAAAUGCGUAGAUAUAUGGAGGAACACCAGUGGCGAAGGCGACUCUCUGGUCUGUAACUGACGCUGAGGUUCGAAAGCGUGGGUAGCAAACAGG
rnacentral:rRNA from 1 species